GCAACUUUGAUGAAUCCCGCAAAUUUUGUUGAGAGGUUAGAGGGGCUGGAAAUGUAAUAAUUUGUCUACACCUCCUGCAUGCCUAGAUGAAUGACAACAAUCUACUGAUAGUAUCCGAAGCUAUUUCCUAAUUCUGCGAAAACAAAGAAGGUGUAAAUGACAGUUUACAUCAACAUGCUACACCGGUCGAAGGUGUGGGAUAUGUGCGAAAAGAAAGCGAAAACUUGACAAAAUUGAUUUCGCAUACUCACCAAUGGGAGUCUAUCACAGCCCGCACGGAUUAAAACGAACACAACACUUAAAAUUGAUUACAAAUUUGCUAAAAUUUAAAAUGGCGGCCGGCAAUAAUGGCGAACGUAAACGGCAGCGCGUCAGCUUCAGGUUGGUGAAGUUUGCGCGCAAACGACUAGCCUCGCGACAGGGUCAAACAGCAUAAGCCGGUUUUGAACCGCGAAUAAAUUACAAUAUUGUGCAUUGCAAAUAGUUAUUUAUCAGUGCAAUUCAUACUUGCAUAAGGAAAAUGCCCAAUGAACAAAGUAGAGUAUUGGGCGAUAAAAGAUCAGCAAGUUCUGCACUUAUUAAGGAUGCAGGUAUAUUCGGUUGCAUAGUAUUGCAUUUACCCAAGACCAGGAUGCUUAUGCAAUUUUUUUCCUGCACGCCAGAGCAUUUGCACUAUGUAUUUGAAAUUAAUUUUGCGACAAUAACAUGAAUUCUAGCUAACGCAGGUUGAUAAAUAUUCGUGUAUAUCUAAAGGGCACUUACUUUGUAAAAGUCCGUUGAAAACACUUAAUACACAUUAACAAACACAACAAACAUUAUUUAAAUAACUAAAAUGUAUAACACUAACAACUAAAUAGGUAGUAAUUAACAUUUAACUUGUAAAAAAACGAAAGUAAAUCCUUAAGGCACUGUUAACUGAAAACUUCGUCCAAAAGCGGUGCACAGUUUUGGCUCCAAAACGAAAACAGAAAGUUCGGUGGACGAGCGUGAAUAUCGGAGAAUUUUCGAUAAACCAAAAAGGGUUAGCGAAUUUCGGUUUUGAAAUUUAAAGGGGGUGUUCUACCGGCUCCCGCGGCGUACACUCUAAUGCAAUAGAUGCAGCACCCGUUGUUUUGCAGCUCGUCUGGGCAAGCGAACUUGCAUUCAGGCAGGCCCCAGUCGGGACGCAUGCUCGCGAAGGGGUCGCAAAUAAUUCGACCGUUUAUGCCACCAACCAGCCGGAGUUUUUUGCAAAUUACUACCAAGUCUCUAGGGCGACGAGGCGAUUUAAAGUCAACUUACUGGAAUACUUGCAAAAUUCCCUAUCAAACCAUUGAAUCUUUUUACUAGCGUAAUUAGAAAAGCGCACAUUUUGGUGCAUUCAAGCUUUAAUCCGCAUUAAACACCAUCAUAUCCGCGGCCUACGUUAGUUGCCACAGGUCGCUGGGCCCCGCCGUUAACAUUGCCGGCAUAUUUAUGUGUAUAUUUAUAGCGUAGGUACGCCAAAUUCAUACAGCGGCUUGCCGCACAAAAUGCACUUUUUGGAAUGCAAAAGUCGUUUGAAAUUUCCACUUACCAUACUGUUCUACUUGAGUGCAGGAUCUAAAUGAAGAUGAGGCAGAGGAUGACGAACUUUAGCAACUAUAGCAACUACUGUAUGGCCUUUGCAAAAUCAAAUAAAUUUGUUUUGUGUUAUAAACUCUUAUCUCGGUAUCAAGUUAAACUAAACAUAAAAAUACACUGUACCUAUAUCUGAUAACAGUUACAUUUUUAGUGGUUGACCAAUUACUUAGAGAUUGCUGAAUAAUCUGUCAAUAUCAUUCGAUUACUUGGUUUAUUUAUUGUUAAUUAAUUGUGUUUAUGUUGUUUUUGCGCACAAUAAAAGUUGUCUUAUGGAUUUUAAACAUAUGUUUAAACGAUAUUAAUUUCUUCUGGAAAAUACAAUUGCGCCUCCAAAAAUAUAAUUGUUUUAUAAAUAAUGUACUGUUAAAAAGUACUAAUGUAUGUGCUUUACUUUAAUAUCAGGACUUUUUGGUUGUGUGUGAACAUUUUUCAAAU